GGAAAGGUGACGUUCUCCAGAUCACGAAAAUAUAUAUAUAUAGUUGCCGCUGACUUAUAGUUUUCGAGAUAUUCGCAUUUAAAGUUGAAAAAUUGACAACUUUUACAUUGAUAAUUUGUGUAUUUUACAAUUCUCUGCAUUUGCACAAUGAGAAAAGUGCUGCCAUGGUUAUUUUUUUUGAAGCGCGGCGCGGAAAAAAAAAUAACCAUGGCAGCACUUUUCUCAUUGUGCAAAUGCAGAGAAUUGUAACUAAAAUAAAAUAAUUAAAAUAAAGCUUUAUUUACAACAAAUAUUAAAAAAAUUAAUAUGCAGAAACGUUAUAGUGAAGUGUUAGUAAGUAAAAAGUGCAUAAUAUAAGAGAAAAAGCUACUCACAAUACACAAAUUAUCAAUGUAAAAGUUGUCAAUUUUUCAACUUUAAAUGCAAAUAUCUCGAAAACUAUAAGUCAGCGGCAACUAUAUGUAUAUAUUUUCGUGAUCUGGAGAACGUCACCUUUCCACUGAUACCCAUUUUAUCCCCGAAAGCCGGGGAUGCUAUUCUAAAUUUUACCC